rnacentral:lncRNA from 1 species
UACCGAGAUGCUGAAAGUAUUUCAUUAAAUAGCCCUAAGAGACAUUGCAAAUAAUUUAGGUUUUAAGUUGGUCAGUAUGAGGUUUGUGUUUAAACGGCCUCUUCUCUCAACUCAAAUUGCCUUGGGCUUCUGGCUAUUUGAAAAUGUUUGUAUUCAUGAACACUGCUUUUGUAAUUGAUGUGAAUGUUUGCAUAAAGCCCAGCUCUGAUUUGUAACCUGGAAAGUUCAUUUACGUAUUCAUUCCAUGUUCGUUAUGCAUUUAUUAUGUGCCAGGUAUGACGACAGUGAUUGGUUAUUACGUUAAUUUUAAAGCUUCUAUUUUCGUGAGCUCUGUGGACCUGAAUUGCAGGGAAGCGUGUAUGGAGAACAGACCAACCUGUGGCCAGGUGGGCCUCUCACGCUCUGGCUAGCUCUCUGCUGUAACACUUCUCACGCUUUCCUUGUUCACGUUCAUUUUGCCUCCUGGCAAGAGAGCAGAGCAUCAUUUGAUGCUGGAUUUCAUCAUCACUGUGUUCUCAGCAUCUAACACAAAGCCGGCAACAUAAGGGAGACCCAGAAAGGGGGUUUGCAUGAGUGGAGGCGCCGCAUAAACAUACAGUGCUCUUUCUAAGGGCAUUUUAGUUUUCAUUGGAUGUUAAGGCCAUUUCCCACUCUGGGAUGUCUUUCCCUAGGAAAAGGCAAAAUCUUUCAUAAAAAACCCUGUUAUCCAAAUAUCUUUCUUCCAGAAUUUGACCGAAUAUUGAUCUGAAGCACUUCGAUGUCUUAGAGGAAGCUGAGUCAAGUUAGUUUUGUAAGAAUCAAGACCUUCAUGUUCCGAGAAAAUACCUCACAAAUAAAUAUCUGCAAACACUUUGUAAAGUCAGAGUUUUCUGCAAGCAGCCGCCUUGGUUGUGAUUCUUCGCUGGGUCCUCCAGGAGUCUGUGCAGUGGAAAGAGCACCGGCUUUGCAGUCAGGCAAUUUUUGCUCUUUUGUCUAUUAGCCACGAGAGCUGGAGAAAAUAAUUCCCAUGGGAUACAGUUUCUUCAUUUAUUAAAUAUGAACAAUUAUAGCUACCUAGCAAGGCUGUCAGGAGAAUCACAGCGUACAUGGAUCUGUAGUAAGUACUCAACAGAUGUUUGUUUCGUUUCCCUAAAUAGUAUGCUUUUUAUUGUUUUUAAAUUAAAGGGAACUGAAGCUGAUUAGGACAUAAGUGAGAAAGAUGUUCUUUAUAGGAGCUGACUCAGACAAAUCUUGAAUAUAAAUAUAUACAUAUGAAUAUAUAUAUGUAUAUACA